rnacentral:rRNA from 1 species
GACGAACGCUGGCGGCGUGCUUAACACAUGCAAGUCGUACGGUAAGGCCCUUUCGGGGGUACCCGAGUGGCGAACGGGAGAGUAACACGUGAGUAACCUGCCCACAACUUUGGGAUAACGCUAGGAAACUGGUGCUAAUACUGGAUAUGUGCUCCUGCUGCAUGGUGGGGGUUGGAAAGCUCCGGCGGUUGUGGAUGGACUCGCGGCCUAUCAGCUUGUUGGUGGGGUAGUGGCCUACCAAGGCGGCGACGGGUAGCCGGCCUGAGAGGGUGACCGGCCACAGUGGGACUGAGAUACGGCCCAGACUCCUACGGGAGGCAGCAGUGGGGAAUAUUGCACAAUGGGCGCAAGCCGGAUGCAGCAACGCCGCGUGCGGGAUGACGGCCUUCGGGUUGGAAACCGCUUUCAGCAGGGACGAAGCUUUUUGUGACGGUACCUGCAGAAGAAGCACCGGCUAACUACGUG